rnacentral:rRNA from 4 species
AAACUUUCAACAACGGAUCUCUUGGUUCUGGCAUCGAUGAAGAACGCAGCGAAAUGCGAUAAGUAAUGUGAAUUGCAGAAUUCAGUGAAUCAUCGAAUCUUUGAACGCACAUUGCGCCCCUCGGUAUUCCGGGGGGCAUGCCUGUCCGAGCGUCAUUA